rnacentral:sRNA from 1 species
GCAUUUGAAAAAGCAGCUAACAUCCAUUAACAACAUACAGAAGAUAUCCCUGGAGCUAUAUUUGGUGGUGAUGACACCUGGCCCUGGUAAGAGCACAUAUUGGACCAGGACUCACAGAAAACACUGGACUUCCCCGGAAGCUGCUUGAAAAACAUGACCCCUGGCCAGCCUAUGUCACCUAUACCUCUCAGACAGUGAAAAGACUCAUUGAGAAAAGCGAAACUAGACAACUGGAAUGCAUGCGUGCCCUCGAGGAAAGACCCUGGGCAUCAAGGCAGAAUAAACCUUCCAGUGUCAUUCAGCUGAAAAGGAGGAAGUCGUCCAAGUCUUCUGGCAAAGCUGUGUUCAGAGACACGCUGUCAGAAUCCACAUUAUCCAUGUGGGGCACUUAUUCGGUAUCGGCCAUGGCUCCUACCAUGAUCCCAGAACCCACACACUUACGUACGGAUUCCAGAGACUGUCCGACUGAAAACUAUAACAAGAUCAUCUUUGCCCGAAAGCCUAUGAUGAGGAUGCUCCCUAUAGUUCGCUACUGACCAACAAGGAGAAACAUGCAAAUGUUUAGCCAGGGGUCCC